rnacentral:lncRNA from 1 species
AAAAACUUUUUAAAAUUUAGUGUGUACAUUCAAUAUGGUGACCACGGAAAUCACAAUGGCCGCCAUGUUCGAUGUACACACUUAAUUUUAAAUGAUCUUUAUGAACUUAUCUUCUUUCUGUAAUUCAUUUUUAAGUUGUUAAAAACAUCGAUAAUAUAUUAAUAUUUAAAAAUCAAUGUUUAAAAGUCACCAAUAUGUGCUAAUUUUAAAAUUUAAAGUGUUAUUCGGUC